UAUUUGACAAGAGUUUAAGCCUCACAUUGGUAGAUUCUAGAUGUUGACAGCAUGUAAUCUUUACUUAACUUCACACCAGGAGCACAUCUUCCCUCAGUACAUCAUGUUUUUUUUGAAAACAAGGACUUUUGAUCUUCAUAAUUGCCUGUAGAGUCUGGGAGUUCCCAAAGCAGACCAGACACUCUUGCUCUCAGUGCCAAACAGACAUCAUUAAUAGUUGGCCUCUAUCCUAAGCACCUUGCAGCCCAAACAAAAGCUAGGUGCAAAGAGAUGGGCAAGGAAGACAAAAGAGUGUGAACCAGGAGGAAGGAAGGAGAACAAAGAUCAUGAGCCCAGUUGAUGCUGGGGUUCUCAGGCAGGAGGUGAUUUUGAUCAGUAGGAUCCUACUGGUGGGAAAAGUUCUUUUUAGGGACUCAAAGAAAAGGUCUAAGACUUUUAGUUUGAUCCAGUUUUCUUUUGUGGCCAGUCCAUUGCCAUGCUGUAUGCUUUGUGGGAACCAGGUUUCCUCCAGCCAAAUUUAGUUCUAGCGUGUGGAAUGAUUGAACUACAUCUAACCAGAGGCAUUCAGCGAGUAUAAUUUUUUUCAGCUUAUUUAUCUUCUCCUUUCCAAGAAACACAUUCAGGUGGCAAAGUGCGCUAGAUCUGUUUUGCUGUUAGAGCUCUCAAAAGCAAUUAAUUUCAAGCGAGGAGCUCUAUGAUUUGACCUGAAUUUCCUCAGUCUGUAGUCCCUUGCCUUCCUCUCCCCCCAGAAGCAAUGUUUCAAACUCCUUCCUUUAUCUGCUCAUCCUUAACCUGGUGGAAGUGUAUAAAACAUCUAGGUGAAUGGCAGCUGCUGCAGGACAUUUGUGUGAAAAAUGAUCAACAGAGAACAGACCUUAUUACCAUCUUUCAAAGUGGGUUCCUGGGGUUCAACAUGAAAGGCAGCAGAUGUUGGUUGCCCAUUUUUUUUGAAAGCCUAACCAUGAACCUCGGCCUUUUGGUCAGAUGUGAAAUUUUCAAAGAAGUGAGAUGUUUGUCAUAUCCCUCAGUAGCACAGGUUAUAUUGAGAACAACACUUUUUGGUUUUGUAGCCUAUAUAAAAGCGAAUGGAUGUCAGCAGCUGGAGAUUUGUUUUCUGAAUCGACUCCAGUCAUGAGUCACUGAGGCUCUGAAACGAUUUUAUACCUGGAGCCUGAGUUGUUAAACUCAGAAGCUGUUUUGACAUUGACUUAGUAGGGUUAUACCUCUGAGCAUCGUUCUGUAAGUUGCAGCGUCUCACAUGUGGGAGGUUUUCCAUUUGCGAUUUGUGGGUUGCUGAGAAAUCUUGGAGAGAAUUGUGAGGCUGAAGGACAUAACAGAAUGGCUUCUGGCCCUCAGGCUGACUAAUCAGGUCCUGGAAAAUAUUCAGUGAGGGCUGGCUUGUUUGUCAUGCAAAAGACCUGAGGCAGUGGCAAAGUUGGUUGCUGGAUUGUGACUUCUCUUUUUUAAGGAAUUUUUGCUGUCACUGGGGUGAGGAAUUCCCAUUUAGAGUUCAGCAGGUUUGAAAACACCACUGUGUGUGUCCCAUGUCAUCUGACAGCUUCCUUUACAAGCAGGGAAACCGAUACAACCAAAUGGAGAAUCCUAACCUGAUGAUCCCAGGAAAUGCCCCUGCAAAAAUGAUUUUAGUAGCUGGAGAGUUUUUUGUUUAGCUAAGAAAAGAUUGGUUAACUAAACACUCUGCAACUGCAGAACUGCAACUUGGCACUUGCCUUCCUUUACAGUUUCACAGAGAAUGAGAAGACAAAUGAUCUUGUCUCAGAUGACAGAUUCUGCCACGAGUAACCUUCUGUCUAGCUUCAGUGAUGCUUCCAGUUGCUGGCAUGAUACUGAGCCAUUUUCAGUAUCAAGCAGCAUUUAAGAUGUCCCAUCUUUUGUUUUAUGGCACUGUGCCUCAACUCAUUGUAGCUACUAUUUUACAUCGUGCUCAUAUUUUACAUCCAUUCUGGAAGAGGGCUAACAAAGAGGAAAAAUAGACACAAUUAUUUUCUGCCGAGUGAGAAUACGUUGUUCUAGAAAACCUGGUGCAGCUGACUGAGCACGGGACUGGCAACCAGGCAGUCUGUGCUCUCCUAUGGCUGCAAUGGGUCUGAAAACUUUGAACUCACAAGGGUUAAUCUAUUUGAGUCAUUGGAGAGAGAGAGAAUCACCAAAA